UACGUAGGGUCCGAGCGUUUGUCCCGGAAUACUGGGCGUAAAGCGCACGUAGGCGGAUUUGUUAGUCAGGGGUGAAAUCCCCGGGGCUCAACCUCGGAACUGCCUUUGAUACUGCAAAUCUCGAGUCCGAUAGAGGUGGGUGGAAUUCCUAGUGUAGAGGUGAAAUUCGUAGAUAUUAGGAAGAACACCGGUGGCGAAGGCGGCCCACUGGAUCGGUACUGACGCUGAGGUGCGAAAGCGUGGGGAGCAAACAGG
rnacentral:rRNA from 1 species